rnacentral:lncRNA from 10 species
CGCUUGUCCGAACCUCUUCGGGAGACUACUUCUCGCGGUAUCUGACUCCUAGGCUCCGCCCUCUGCACGCCGCUCACGGUAUCUGACGCUCAGGCUCCGCCCCCUGCAUGUCUUUGUUGGCAAACAGUUCUGGGGGUCGUCCGAUCCUGCAGAGACCGUCCAGGCUGGACUUGAACUCCUUCCUCGGCUGAAGUGAUCCUCCUGCCUCAGCGUCCUGAAUAGGAAGUGGAGCCAGAAUCCACAGAUGUCAUUAUCCAUCUGCACACUUUGUUUACUACCCAGAAGGCAAGAAUAUUGCAUUUUAAAAGUGCCCGGACUUUUGUUCUUUCUUAUCACAAAUGACUUGGGAAGCUCCGACCACUCAUGUUUACCCCGAGUGAAAGUCCCAUUCAAAGCCUUGCUUCCUGGAGAGCUUUGAGAUUCUGGUACAAAAGGCAUUUUAUAAGCACAAAGUGGAAAAGCAUCAUUCAUAUUCAUUUGCUGCUGCGGCAUUUCUCCCUGGAAUCUUCCUCUUGUCUGUCAACAUUGGGCAAAAGGACUGGCCUCAUCUACAUUACAGAUAUCCUUGUGAUGGUCUGGAGGGACCUGUGGGAGAGGCGGCCAUCCAGAGGGCUCUCUGAGGGGUCAUUUAGAAUGCAACUCUUCUGGGCAGAGGAUGGUCUGCACUGGCCUCCACCACGCAGGAAGGCUUCCAGAGUGGAGAAAUGUCCACUAACAUGGCUUCUGUGAGGUCAUGUGCUGGGUGCUGGGAACACAAAGGAGAGAUGAGAGGAAGUUAGAGGGGCUAGAAGAACCAGGAGACCUGUUGAAAAUCAUGAAUACAAAGAGAGGUCGUUUGCUUCUGUGCUUCAAUUCUAUAAUAAAAUGAGUACAAUGUC